rnacentral:rRNA from 1 species
UACAGAGGUCUCAAGCGUUGUUCGGAUUCAUUGGGCGUAAAGGGUGCGUAGGUGGCGCCAUAAGUCAGGUGUGAAAUCUCGGAGCUCAACUCCGAAACUGCACUUGAUACUGUGGUGCUUGAGUACUGGAGAGGAGAUUGGAAUUUACGGUGUAGCAGUGAAAUGCGUAGAUAUCGUAAGGAAGACCAGUGGCGAAGGCGGGUCUCUGGACAGUUCCUGACGCUGAGGCACGAAGGUCAGGGGAGCAAACGGG